UACGAAGGGGGCUAGCGUUGUUCGGAAUUACUGGGCGUAAAGCGCACGUAGGCGGGUUGUUAAGUCAGGGGUGAAAUCCUGGAGCUCAACUCCAGAACUGCCUUUGAUACUGGCAACCUAGAGACUGGAAGAGGUUAGUGGAAUUCCCAGUGUAGGGGUGAAAUUCGUAGAUAUUGGGAAGAACACCAGUGGCGAAGGCGGCUAACUGGUCCAGCACUGACGCUGAGGUGCGAAAGCGUGGGGAGCAAACAGG
rnacentral:rRNA from 1 species